rnacentral:tRNA from 1 species
GGCACUAUAGUCAAGUGGUAAGACAGGGGUCUGCAAAAUCCCGAUCUCCGGUUCAAAUCCGGAUGGUGCCUCCA